rnacentral:lncRNA from 1 species
UGACCCCAAAAGGGACCCAGGUCCUAAAGGUGACCCCAAAAAGGGAUCCAGGUCCUAAAGGUGACCCCAAAAGGGACGCAGGUCUUAAAGGUGACCCCAAAAGGGACCCAGGUGACCCUAAAAGGGAUCCAGGUCCUAAAGGUGACCCUAUAAUGACCCUAAAUGACCCCAAAAUGGUCCGAAAUGACCCCAAAAGGGCCCUAGGUGACCCUAAAAGGGAUCCAGGUCUUAAACAUGACCCCAAAAGGGAUCCAGGUCCUAAAAGUGACCCCAAAAGGGAUCCAGGUCCUAAAGGUGACCCCAAAAAGGGACCCAGGUGACCCUAAAAGGGAUCCAGGUCCUAAAUGUGACGCUAUAAUGGCCCUAUAUGAUCCCAAAAGAGUCCUAAAUGACCCCAAAAGGGAUCCAGGUCCUAAAGGUGACCCUAAAACGGCCCUAAAUGACCCCAAAUGGGAUCCAGGUCCUAAAGGUGACCCCAAAAAGGCCCUAAAUGACCCCGACCCCCCCCCAAAAUGUUUUAGGGUCGCACCGAGGACGCGGAUCUCGACGGGGCCGCAGCCGUUGAGC